AUUAAUUAUUUGAUGAGUAUUGGCAACUCCUUAAAUUUGUUAUAUUUCUACAGCAUUUUCGAUUUAAAUGUCUAAGAUAAUUAUUUUUUUUUUACUAAUUUCAUAAUUUUUCUCCGUGCUUCAAAUAUCAAGCUCACAACAAUGAAAGCAUGUACAUCAAAAUAUAGAGCUGCUUUGUCUAAAAAAAAUUCUGACUAACCUACUAAGUGAAAAUACCCGUAAAAUUAUAACGGUCGCAAGUGGUCGCAGUUAAUUUAAUACACAUUAGUACUUUACAAAUGGAAUACAUUAACUUAACAUAUUUGGUAAGGGGCACAAGAGGACACAAACAAAUUGUGGACCUCAAUUGACAGGCAAGUGAACUAGCCAGGGUAUGCUUUAUGAUAACGUAUCAUUCAAAAAAGGUUUUGGUUCCAGAAUAUCCGCCGUCUGGCCCAAUGUGCAGCGACUCGUUACGUUAUGUGCCUUGGUCUGUAGACUGCCGCCUACUUCAUACCGCACUCUCCCUCCUGCACACCCUCACAAAGUCAGUCACAAAGAACAAACGCAACCCGUUGGCUUUGUUACUGUUCUUGCUUCUUCCGCCAAAAGUGAGCAAACCCCAGACCCGAGGCGAAGAAAGAAAGCAGCAAGAAAUCUUUCUACUGCCGCGAGCGCAAAAGCGUGUGAUUGCUCCUGAAAACCCAAACAGCUUGCAUAGACCAGUACCAGCUCAUACUCUGUCUGCGCUCUCUCGCCCACGGACCUCAGUGAUAUAAAAAGCCUAUCUAAUCUGGCAGCCGGAGCACAAGACCUUGCCAAUUGCACUAAACUGCUCACAGUGUGGUUACACAAAAGUUCAGAACAGACCCAAGCGGUUCCAAAGGUCGAGAAGUUGCAGGGGAAAUCGAAUAGAGGGCUAUCAAUGUCCUGAAAUACCCGUAAUAUGAUGGUUAUAAUUCACCCACAGCCAAGGGUUUGCUUUUAUUUACAGAGGCAACUUUGUAAUUUACAAAAAUGGUAACGAAUAAAUCAAAUAUGUGGAAGCAUAUAUGUAUGUAUGUAAUAUAA